GACGAACGCUGGCGGCGUGCCUAAUACAUGCAAGUUGAGCGAUGAAGCUUGGUGCUUGCACCAAUUUGAAGAGCAGCGAACGGGUGAGUAACGCGUGGGGAAUCUGCCUUUGAGCGGGGGACAACAUUUGGAAACGAAUGCUAAUACCGCAUAACAACUUUAAACAUAAGUUUUAAGUUUGAAAGAUGCAAUUGCAUCACUCAAAGAUGAUCCCGCGUUGUAUUAGCUAGUUGGUGAGGUAAAGGCUCACCAAGGCGAUGAUACAUAGCCGACCUGAGAGGGUGAUCGGCCACAUUGGGACUGAGACACGGCCCAAACUCCUACGGGAGGCAGCAGUAGGGAAUCUUCGGCAAUGGACGAAAGUCUGACCGAGCAACGCCGCGUGAGUGAAGAAGGGUGUCGGAUCGUAAAACUCUGUUGGUAGAGAAGAACGUUGGUGAGAGUGGAAAGCUCAUCAAGUGACGGUAACUACCCAGAAAGGGACGGCUAACUACGUG
rnacentral:rRNA from 1 species